GUGAGAGGAUGGGGGAGGGUCUCUGCAGGGAAUGCUCCCUUCCCUUCUGGGCCUCGGGCUCCUCGGUAAAGUGAGGGGAGUUGGGCGAGUGCCCUGGAAGGCACCUCCCGGCUGCAGCCCCAGGGGGAGACCCCCCCGCCCCCCGAUAACUGGGUGACCUUGGCCAGGUUUCGAACCUCCCGGUGCAAGCCCUCUGACCGCCCGGAAAAGAUGCGCCCUUGGGAGCGAGCGCUGAGGGGAGGGCGGGGCCAGCACCUGGAAUCGAGGGCCGGGGGAGGGGGGCGGGGCCUCAAGGUCACCCAGGGACCAGCCCGUGACCUUCGCCAGGUCCUCCGCCAAAGCGGGGGCAGGCCGGGGCCCCUUAAGGUCGCCCUCCAGGGGAUUCAGGCCCCCCCCUCCCGACCCCGGCUGGACAGACCGUUCCGACCGCCGCGUGCUGGGGGCAGGGGAACAAAUCCCCGAGCGCACAGAGCUCUGGCCCAAUGCGACCACCAGGUGGCGCACGCACCCUGCCCGGGCCGUCCUUGCUCCCGGAAGCUCGCAAAGGGGCCUGAGCGCAGGGAAUGACGGGCCCUUCCGGGCCGGGGAAGAAGCGGGACCGCCGGCCUCCCUCCGGGUACUGGAGGCCCAAGUAAGGGGCGAGGCGUGGGCACGGGCCAGACCCGCGGGCUGAGCGCCAGCGCACCGGGCGAGCCGCGUCACCCCCGCGCGUGUAUCAGAAACCUCCCCCCCUUCGGGUUUGUGGGACGCGCCGCUCUCUCCUGGUUCUCCUCCUCCCUCUCUGACCACUGGUGUCCCCCUUGCUGGACCUUCCUCCAGAUCGCCCCUGUCGGGCCCUUUUCUCUGCGGACCGCUUCACCCGGAGAUCGCAUCAACUCCCGCGGACUUAAUUACCCUCCAUGUUGAGGAUUUCUCUUUUUCUGCCUUUCCUCCCUCUGCUGACCUUGAACUUUGCUUCCCCGAGCGCCUCUCGGGCAUUUCCUGCUGGGUGGCCAGUGGUUCGCUUAGACGCGUCCAAAACUGAAGUCCUAUCCUCCCCCUCAGCCUCCCUCACCUUCCCGUCCCUAUGACUGAAGAGACCAUCAUCCUCGGCCCCCAACCUCCCUCGCCUCCUGAGCCAUUGAAGAGUCCGCCCUUUGGUUCUUGGAAGCCAUCUAGUCCACGCCACACCUAGAGCAGAAUCCCUGGCCCAAACCUAACUCUGCUGGAGGCCCUGUGGUGCUGGGAGCCCAGGACUCCCCAAGUAGCCUCUUCCACUUGGGGAACUUCUGAUGGGGAAGAUGGAGGUCAGUGGAAUUGACGUUGGCUUCUAAUUGGCGGAUGGAUGAAUGAAUAAAACAAUUCAUUAGGUUCUUGACCAUGUACCUCAAGCGCUGUGCUUAGCUCUGGAAAUAGAGAUAUAAAGACAAAAGCUUUCCUUACUCUCAGGGAGCUUGGUCUCUGAUGGGGGCGACAUCACGUAGAGGGGUGGACCCUCUGGGAGGACAUUGGGUUUGGGAACUUGUAGAAAUGGUGAGUGGAACUAUAGGAGGCGGCCUUUCCGAUAGGAAUGGCCGGCGUGGGUUUGAGUAGAAUUAGAAAGGGGAGAGAAAAAAGGGGGGGAGGGCACAGCCACGUCCCAGGGUAAGAAGCUAGCUAAUACGUAAAGUGAGGCUGAACUACGAGAGGUGGUGUUCAAGAAGCACAGUGGCGGCUAUCAGGGCCAGGAAGGGUUAAGUCCCACAGGAUGUGGCCUCUAGUCCAGGCAGCGAAGAGACGGGGCGCUCCAGCCGUUCUUAAGCUUUUGCUCUUAAACUUUUAACACUCUUAAAAAAUUAUUGAAGAUUCUCUAAAGGGCUUUUGUUUACAUUGGUGAUCUCUCUCAAUAUCUGCUGUAUUAAAGAAUUGAACUGACAUUUUAAAAUAUUUAUUAACUAAUUUUAAAAUAAUAAAUUACAUGUUUAUGUAAAAUAGUUUCUGACAGUAAUUCUGUUUUCCGAAACAAUUAGAAGAAUCGCGUCGAGGGCACUAGGUGGCUCAGUGGAUAGAGCACCAACCCUGAAGUCAGGAGGACCUGAGUUCAAUUCUGUUAUCAGAUUCUUAACACUUCCUAGCUCUGUGACCCUGGGCAAGUCACUUAACCCCAAUUACCUCAGCAAAAAGCAAAAAUAAAAAAAAGAAAGAAAGAAGAAGAAGAAUCGCAUUGUUUUACCUGUUUUUACAAAUCUCUGUAAUGACCGGCUCAGUAGAAGACAAUUGGAUUCUCCUAUUUGCUUCUUUAUCCAUUCUGUUGGAAAUUUGCUGCUUUGGUUGAGAUACAUGGGGGAAAAAAUCCAGCCUAAUGAAGAUAAAUAGCUGGAAAAAGAAGAAUUUUUUUUAGAUUAUACUUUUUACAUGUCUCCAUAUGAGUUAAGUUGGGAGAGAAAAAUCAGAACAAAAGAGAAAAAACAAGAAAAGAAGGUGAAAAUAGUAUGCUUUGAUCUGUUCAGUCUGCUUGCAGAUGACAUUUUCCAACUCGAGUUUACUAUGGAUCGUCAAAUUGCUGAGAAGAGCCACAUCUGUCAUAAUUGAUCAUCACACAAUCUGGUUGUUGCCGUGUACGAUGAUCUCCUGGUUCUGCUCACUUCCCUCAGCAUCAGUUCAUGUAGGUCUCUCCAGGCCUCCCCGAAAUCCUCCUGGUGAUCCUUUCUUAAAGAAUAAUGAUAUUCCAUCACAUUUAUAUACAAUAACCUAUUCAGUCCUUCCCCAACUGAUAAGCAUCCACUCAGUUUCCAGCUUCUUUCCAUACAAAAAGAGUUGCCGCAAACAUUUUUGCACAUGUGGGUCCCUUUCCCUCCUUUAAGAUCUCUUUGGGAUAUAAUCACAGUAGAAGUACUGCUGGGUCAAAGGGGAUGCACAGUUUAAUAGCCCUUUGGACAUAGUUCCAAGUUGCUCUCCAAAAUGGUUGGAUCAUUUCACAACUCCACCAACAAUGCGUUAGUAUUUCACUUUUCUCCACAUCCCUGCUAACAUUUAUCAUCUUUUCCUGUCAUUUUAGCCAAUCUGAGAGGUGUGAAGUGGUACCUCAGAGCUGUCUUAAUUUGCAUUUCCCUAAUCAGUAGCGAUUCAGAGCAUUUUUAAUAUGAUUUGAUGCCUCUAAUAAGGAGGAAUAUUUUAAUAGUCAAUGCCUCAUAAGUAUCGUUGCUGAGUUGUUUUUUAGUUGUGUCCGACUCUUCAUGACCUGACCAGAGGGAUUUGCCAUUUCUCUCUCCAGUUCAUUUUAUAGAUGAGAAAAACUGAGGCAAACACGGUGAAGUGACAUGCCCAGGGUCACACAGCUAAUAGGUAUCGGAGGCUGAAUUUGAACCCAAGAAGAUGAGUCUUUCCAACCCAGGCCCAGCACUCUAUCCAUCAUUCUGCUUAGCUCCCCACAUCUUGUCAGUAUUUUUCGGUGUUAAAAUACUCGGGAGUUCAGCCUCAUCUGAAGCCUGAGAAGAAUGACCAGAGCAGGAAUCCCAGACCCAAGAGCCAGUUCCAUCACUGAAGCCUCAGAGCCUUCCAGCUGGCUUCCAGUCCACUCUGCUAAACAAGUAUUAAGUGUCUAGACAAGCAGGGCUGGAGACACAAUCAAUAAAGCUACUCCCUGCCCUAAAGGAGCUUACAAUCUGAAAGCUUACAACUCCACAAGGAGGCAGGAGGGAGGGGGAACUGGAGCCAUGGAACCAAGCAGGGCAGCAGAUGCACAGUGGAGGGAGCCCCCUGUAGAGGAAACCACCCGAGUCUAAUGGCACCUUGCCCAGGGGCGACCCUAUGGUUGUGUCGCUCAGACUUAAACCUAGGUGGGGAACUUGUAAAACCCAAACCAGGGACUCAGCAAUUGGAUUCUGCCCUGCAUCAGACCGCUUUGGGUGCCCUGAAAACCUGCAGGUCCCCAGUCUGAGCUGCCCCCGUGAUCUGGCGAUAGGGCAACACUCGAGAAAGCCCCAGAAGGACGAGAGGAGGCAAAACUCUCCUCCAGAAGCAAGCAGAGCUCAUCCUAACAAAGUCUGAAGUCAGAAAGCAGACUGGGAAAAGGAGCGACUAAAGAAGAAUCCCAUCAACAAAGAGCAUGUUAUGGUGACAGGGAUGUGUACACACAUACACACACACACACACACACACACACACACACAGCAACAACGAAAGAAUACUGGAACGGGAGUCCGUAAGACCCGUGUUCAAAUUCUGCCUCAGAUACCUUCUGGCUGUGAUCCUCAGCAUGUGACUUAACCUUUGUUUCCUCAACUAUAAAAUGUGGAUGAUCAUAAACUCCUCCCAGAGUUGUGGUGAGGAUCAAAUGAGAUAAUAGUUGUAAAGUGCUUAACAUAGACCCUGACAGGCAGUAAGCACUAUGUAAAUGCUGUUGUCAUUAUUGUUUUUAUAUCCUACAGAAGAGAAUGAUCCCAAAGCAUCUGGACAUGAGUUCAAUUAGAAUUCAUGGAAAAGAUAAAACAGGAGUGUUGCUUUUUUUGUUUUUAAACAGUUUUUUUUUUUUUUUAAUAUUUUGCUAAAUAAAGUGCUAGAGGGGGAAAUGAAAAAAGAUUGAGGACUUUGGAAGAAAGAAUUGGAAAGAGAAUCAACAGCUUGACAUUAGAAGUAAAAGCCUUAUCCAAAUUACAAACUAUGAAAAUGAGAAUGGAUCAAAUGGAAGAUAAUGACUCAUAAAAGACAAUAAGAAAUGUUUCAUGGUUGACUGAAAAGAAAAUAUGAAAAAUAGGCAUGUCAUGGCAAAACAACUGACUUGGGAGACGAGUCUAUGACAGUCAACAAGAAAUUAUUAAAUGCUUGCUCUGUAUCAGACAUUGUGUUAAGCAAUGGAGGUACAAUUAAUUAUAAGCAAGGAGGAAAACAAGCCUUGACUUCAAGAAGGUUAUGAUCUAAUAGAAGAAAUUAAAUAAAAGAGAGGCAGAAAAGCAGAAAGGAGGAGGAGGAGGUACAAUUAAUUACAGGCAGGGAGAAAAACAAUCCUUGACUUCAAGAAAUAUAUUCUAAUAGAAAUUAAAUAAAUGAGGGGCUGAAAAGCAGAAGGGAGGAAGAAGAGGUACUCGGGCAGAGGCAAGAGAAUGAUCCUGGGCUCUUUUCCAAAAUGGAGGGUCCAGGAAAAAUUCAUCAAUGGGAGGAGAGACUUGCAGGAGGGGAGUCAAGAAGCAGCUGAAGCAUCAUGGUGUGCUCAUCUUAUUUCAAGAAAUUUUUUAAGCCCAGUCCCUAUUUCUUAGAAUCAGAAGGUAAAGUGGGAAUAGAAAAAAAAAAAUCUCCAAAUGAAAACUUCUGGUUACAUUAGAGUCAAAACCUAGAGCUUCCAGGUCAAAGGGAAAAUAUUGCAAACAGCAAAGAAAGAAUUCAAGUAGCAAAAAGCUUCACUUAAGAGCAAACGCAAUUUAGCCCCCAUCACUAUAAAGAAGUGGAAGCUUGGAAUAUUAAUCUUCCCUCCUUCCCCCCUCCCUCCCCAUUCCACCUCACCCCCUAGGAAUAUACUCAGUUUUGUUGGGUAAGUUAGCAGCAAGGUGGCCCAGUGGCUAGAGCUGUGGACCUGGAGUCAGGAAAACUCAUCUUCAUGAUGAGACACUUGCUAGCUCUCUGACUAGAGGCCAAUCACUUAACUCAGUUUGCCUCAGUUUCCUCACCUGUAAAAUGAGCUGGAGAAGGAAAUGACCAAGGAUCUUUGUCAAGAAAACCCUAAGUGGGGUCCCAAAGUCAGACAAGUCUGCUGGGAUUGUCUUGGAUCACUGUAUGGCUGAGAAGAGCUGAGUCUCAUAGCUGAUCGGCACAUAAUCUUGCUUUUACUGUGCACGUUCUCCUGGUUCUGUCACCCAGCAUCCAUCCGUUCAUGUCAGUCUCUCCAGGUUUUUCUGACAUCUGCCUGCUCAUCAUUUCUUCUGGCACAACAGCGUUCCAUCACAACAAUAUAUCCCAGUCUAUUCAUCCAUUGCCCAGUUGAUGGGAAUCCCCCCCAUUUUCCAAUUCUUUGCUACCACAAAGAGACACUGAAAUAUUUACACAAAGUUUUUUUGCACGUGUGAGUCCUUUCCCCUCCUCAACGAUUUCCUUGGGAUACAGAUCUAGUAGAGACAUUUCUGGGUCAAAGGGUAUAUACAACGUUUGCAGCCUUUUGGACAUGGUUCCAAUUUGCUCUCCAGAGUGAUUGGAUCAUCUCACAACUCCACCAACAAUGUAUCAGUGCCCCAGUUUUCCCACAUCCCCUCCAAUAUUUAUCAUCUUAGUCAAUCUGAGAGGUGUGAGAUGGUACCUCGGAGUUAUUUUAAGUCGUAUUUCUCUAAUACAGAUUUAGAGCAUUUGUUUAUGUUUCGAAUUUGGAGUCGAGUUUUUAAAAGUUUAGAAUUACCAGGAAACCAAAGAAUAGGGGAAAUAAAGGCGUCCUUUCCCCAGCCUCGUUCUACCCACGGACCUCGGGGGAAGGAGUCUGUGACUCCAGGUUGGGACCCGCUGCCCUGGAGCUCCAAGCUGUGAGAGACAAGUUUCCUGGCUGGGAUCAUCCUGGCUUUGUGGAUCAGGGACAUAAUUAGGAUAUGAGCUAUCAGAGAGCGGAGGGAUUAAGGUCCGAGGAGGAAGGGGACGUUUAUUCUGGAGGUUCGGAAUUUCACCUUCUAGAGUCCGUUCUCAGUCCCCGCCGUCGGCUCCCCAAGCCCCCGAUCUGUAGUCUAAGAUCGCUUGCCAGGGGAAGCCUUCCCAGUCCCGGCACCUGACCGCGGGACCUCUGGCAGUGUUCCUCCGCUAUCGCUGGUCCCUCUCAGCUCUCCCCGGCCCCGGACACUGGCUUCACUGUUACCUCCCCCUCCUGGGGCAGGUGGGAGCCAAAGUGGCCAUGCGGCGGGGGGGGGUCCGGGCGGAGGUGCCCGUGAGUGAAGCAGCCCAUUGUCUGGGGCCAGGGCCGGGCACAGAGGAGGAGUGUGUGUCCCUCUGUGCCUCCAGCGGCAGCCGGGCUCCUGUCUCCAAGGAAACCCCCCUUGCAGUAAGAAGCAUCCUGAGCAGGGGCUGCCGCCCAUCUCCUUCUCCAGAGGGCGCGGGGGGAGGGGAGCGCCAUUUCUUCUCUCCACAGAGCCCUCUUGCCUCAGCCUGCAGGUGCCGGGAAGUGGGGGGUGAAAGGGAUCAGCGGCAGGAUUCCUGGGGCCCCGGAGCCAAGAGCCCCGCGGAGCGCGCCAGGGCUUCCUGCUGGGCGCACACUGGGGCCUUGUCCCGGCUCCGGGACGCGGGGGCGCCGCAGGUGGGGGACAGAGCCCAGCGCCAGGAAGCCGGAGCCUCCGGAGGAGGGAGCUGUCCAGCGCGGCCAGGAGCCGAGUCCCGGGCCAGCCCAUCCUUCUGGAAACCGGCUCUCCCUCCAGUCCCACGGCUGGAACCUGGGCUGCCAUUUCAGUGUCCCGGAGGCUCAUCCCCCACUCGUGAC
ensembl:lncRNA